rnacentral:rRNA from 1 species
GCGGACAGAUGGGAGCUUGCUCCCUGAUGUUAGCGGCGGACGGGUGAGUAACACGUGGGUAACCUGCCUGUAAGACUGGGAUAACUCCGGGAAACCGGGGCUAAUACCGGAUGGUUGUUUGAACCGCAUGGUUCAAACAUAAAAGGUGGCUUCGGCUACCACUUACAGAUGGACCCGCGGCGCAUUAGCUAGUUGGUGAGGUAACGGCUCACCAAGGCAACGAUGCGUAGCCGACCUGAGAGGGUGAUCGGCCACACUGGGACUGAGACACGGCCCAGACUCCUACGGGAGGCAGCAGUAGGGAAUCUUCCGCAAUGGACGAAAGUCUGACGGAGCAACGCCGCGUGAGUGAUGAAGGUUUUCGGAUCGUAAAGCUCUGUUGUUAGGGAAGAACAAGUACCGUUCGAAUAGGGCGGUACCUUGACGGUACCUAACCAGAAAGCCACGGCUAACUACGUGCCAGCAGCCGCGGUAAUACGUAGGUGGCAAGCGUUGUCCGGAAUUAUUGGGCGUAAAGGGCUCGCAGGCGGUUUCUUAAGUCUGAUGUGAAAGCCCCCGGCUCAACCGGGGAGGGUCAUUGGAAACUGGGGAACUUGAGUGCAGAAGAGGAGAGUGGAAUUCCACGUGUAGCGGUGAAAUGCGUAGAGAUGUGGAGGAACACCAGUGGCGAAGGCGACUCUCUGGUCUGUAACUGACGCUGAGGAGCGAAAGCGUGGGGAGCGAACAGGAUUAGAUACCCUGGUAGUCCACGCCGUAAACGAUGAGUGCUAAGUGUUAGGGGGUUUCCGCCCCUUAGUGCUGCAGCUAACGCAUUA